rnacentral:rRNA from 1 species
GAUGAACGCUGGCGGCGUGCCUAAUACAUGCAAGUCGAGCGAACAGACGAGGAGCUUGCUCCUCUGACGUUAGCGGCGGACGGGUGAGUAACACGUGGAUAACCUACCUAUAAGACUGGGAUAACUUCGGGAAACCGGAGCUAAUACCGGAUAAUAUAUUGAACCGCAUGGUUCAAUAGUUAAAGACGGUUUUGCUGUCACUUAUAGAUGGAUCCGCGCCGCAUUAGCUAGUUGGUAAGGUAACGGCUUACCAAGGCGACGAUGCGUAGCCGACCUGAGAGGGUGAUCGGCCACACUGGAACUGAGACACGGUCCAGACUCCUACGGGAGGCAGCAGUAGGGAAUCUUCCGCAAUGGGCGAAAGCCUGACGGAGCAACGCCGCGUGAGUGAUGAAGGUCUUCGGAUCGUAAAACUCUGUUAUGAGGGAAGAAAAAAUGUGUAAGUAAAUAUGCACGUCUUGACGGUACCUAAUCAGAAAGCCACGGCUAACUACGUG